UACGGGGGGAGCAAGCGUUGUUCGGAUUUACUGGGCGUAAAGGGCGCGUAGGCGGUCAGCACAAGUCAGUUGUGAAAUCUCCGGGCUUAACUCGGAAAGGUCAACUGAUACUGUGCGACUAGAGUGCGGAAGGGGCAACUGGAAUUCUCGGUGUAGCGGUGAAAUGCGUAGAUAUCGGGAGGAACACCAGUGGCGAAGGCGGUACUCUGGGCCUUACCUGACGCUGAGACGCGAAAGCGUGGGGAGCGAACCGG
rnacentral:rRNA from 1 species